GGGCGCCUCCGUUACUCUUUCGGAGGCGCCCAAAGGUUCCCUCAGAAUGGUUGGAAAUCAUUCGUAGCGUGCAAAGGCAGAAGGGAGCUUGACUGCGAGACCUACAAGUCGAGCAGGGACGAAAGUCGGGCUUAGUGAUCCGGCGGUGCCGUAUGGAAGGGCCGUCGCUCAACGGAUAAAAGCUACCCCGGGGAUAACAGGCUUAUCUCCCCCAAGAGUCCACAUCGACGGGGAGGUUUGGCACCUCGAUGUCGGCUCAUCGCAUCCUGGGGCUGUAGUCGGUCCCAAGGGUUGGGCUGUUCGCCCAUUAAAGCGGUACGCGAGCUGGGUUCAGAACGUCGUGAGACAGUUCGGUCC
rnacentral:rRNA from 1 species